rnacentral:rRNA from 1 species
CCCUUAGAUGUUCUGGGCUGCACGCGCGCUACACUGAUGCGUUCAACGAGUUUUUAGCUUAUCUGAUAAGAUUGGCUAAUCUUCUGAAAACGCAUCGUGAUGGGGAUAGAUUAUUGCAAUUAUUAAUCUUCAACGAGGAAUGCCUAGUAAGCGCAAGUCAUCAGCUUGCGUUGAUUACGUCCCUGCCCUUUGUACACACCGCCCGUCGCUCCUACCGAUUGAAUGGUCCGGUGAAGCGUUCGGACCGUGGCCUUUGGACGGUUCGCCGUCUGUUGGCUGCGGGAAGUUCGUUAAACCUUAUCAUUUAGAGGAAGGAGAAGUCGUAACA